rnacentral:rRNA from 1 species
CCUGAUCCCAUCCCGAACUCAGUAGUGAAACGAUGUAUCGCCGAUGGUAGUGUGGGGUUUCCCCAUGUGAGAGUAGGUCAUCGUCAAGA